GAGAGACAGACAGACAGACAGACAGAAGAAACAAAGAAAUUUUGAGUCUCUAUAUCAAGAAAAGAGUAAAAAUUCCAGUAGUAGUAAUACUAGUAGUAGUAGCUAGAGUAGUAUAUCAGUAGUAGAACUGAUGGAAGGGAAGAAUUUACAGAGAAAAUCAUUUGGGGUUGGUGUUCUUCUGUCUCCAGAGUGGCCACACCAUUACAUUAGUAGUAACACUACUUUCUC
rnacentral:misc_RNA from 1 species